rnacentral:rRNA from 1 species
UGCGCGAGCGUAUAAUGCAGUCGAGCGAACAGAUAAGGAGCUUGCUCCUUUGACGUUAGCGGCGGACGGGUGAGUAACACGUGGAUAACCUACCUAUAAGACUGGGAUAACUUCGGGAAACCGGAGCUAAUACCGGAUAACAUAUUGAACCGCAUGGUUCAAUAUUGAAAGGCGGCUUUGCUGUCACUUAUAAAUGGAUCCGCGCCGUAUUAGCUAGUUGGUAAGGUAACGGCUUACCAAGGCAACGAUGCGUAACCGACCUGACAGGGUGAUCGGCCACACUGGAACUGACACACGGUCCAGACUCCUACGGGAGGCAACAGUAGGGAAUCUUCCGCAAUGGGCGAAAGCCUGACGGAGCAGCGCCGCGUGAGUGAUGAAGGUCUUCGGAUCGUAAAACUCUGUUAUCAGGGAAGAACAAAUGUGUAAGUAACUGUGCACUUCUUGACGGUACCUGAUCAGAAAGCCACGGCUAACUACGUGCCAGCAGCCGCGGUAAUACGUACGUGGCAAGCGUUAUCCGGAAUUAUUGGGCGUAAAGCGCGCGUAGGCGGUUUUUUAAGUCUGAUGUGAAAUCCCACGGCUCAACCGUGGAGGGUCAUUGGAAACUGGA